GACGAACGCUGGCGGCGUGCUUAACACAUGCAAGUCGAACGAUGAACCCGGAGCUUGCUCUGGGGGAUUAGUGGCGAACGGGUGAGUAACACGUGAGUAACCUGCCCUGGACUCUGGGAUAAGCGUUGGAAACGACGUCUAAUACCGGAUAGGACCUUGGAUCGCAUGAUCUGGGGUGGAAAGUUUUUUCGGUCUGGGAUGGACUCGCGGCCUAUCAGCUUGUUGGUGAGGUAAUGGCUCACCAAGGCGUCGACGGGUAGCCGGCCUGAGAGGGUGACCGGCCACACUGGGACUGAGACACGGCCCAGACUCCUACGGGAGGCAGCAGUGGGGAGUAUUGCACAAUGGGCGAAAGCCUGAUGCAGCAACGCCGCGUGCGGGAUGACGGCCUUCGGGUUGUAAACCGCUUUUAGUAGGGAAGAAGGGCUUCGGCUUGACGGUACCUGCAGAAAAAGGACCGGCUAACUACGUG
rnacentral:rRNA from 1 species